rnacentral:rRNA from 1 species
AACCUCCGCAAUGUGAGAAAUCGCGACGGGGGGAUCCCAAGUGCCAUUCUUAACGGGAUGGCUUUUCAUUAGUGUAAAGAGCUUUUGGAAUAAGAGCUGGGCAAGACCGGUGCCAGCCGCCGCGGUAACACCGGCAGCUCUAGUGGUAACAAUUUUUAUUGGGCCUAAAGCGUCCGUAGCCGGUUUAAUAAGUCUCUGGUGAAAUCCUGUAGCUUAACUGUGGGAAUUGCUGGAGAUACUAUUAGACUUGAGACCGGGAGAGGUUAGAGGUACUCCCAGGGUAGAGGUGAAAUUCUGUAAUCCUGGGAGGACCGCCUGUUGCGAAGGCGUCUAACUGGAACGGUUCUGACGGUGAGGGACGAAAGUUAGGGGCGCGAACCGGAUUAGAUACCCGGGUAGUCCUAACUGUAAACGAUGCGGACUUGGUGUUGGGGUGGCUUUGAGCUGCUCCAGUGCCGAAGGGAAGCUGUUAAGUCCGCCGCCUGGGAAGUACGGUCGCAAGACUGAAACUUAAGGAAAUU